GACGAACGCUGGCGGCGUGCUUAACACAUGCAAGUCGAGCGGUAAGGCCCUUUCGGGGGUACACGAGCGGCGAACGGGUGAGUAACACGUGGGUGACCUGCCCUCAGCUCUGGGAUAAGCCUGGGAAACCGGGUCUAAUACCGGAUAUGACUCCAUGACGCAUGUUGUGGGGUGGAAAGCCUUGUGCGGCUGAGGAUGGGCCCGCGGCCUAUCAGCUUGUUGGUGGGGUGAGGGCCACCAAGGCGACGACGGGUAGCCGGCCUGAGAGGGCGACCGGCCACACUGGGACUGAGACACGGCCCAGACUCCUACGGGAGGCAGCAGUGGGGAAUCUUGCGCAAUGGGCGAAAGCCUGACGCAGCGACGCCGCGUGAGGGAUGACGGCCU
rnacentral:rRNA from 1 species